GCGCCCUUGGUGUAACGGUAACACACGUUCAUAAACUACUUUCGAGUGGUACCGGGUUCGACUCCCGGAGAGCGCC